UCUUUCCUCAGAUUGGGCUAGGUUUCCCAUUCGGCCUCUAGGUGGCCUUACUCUUCAUCAAUUCUCCUGUGCCUUUCACGUUCUCCAUUUCCACAUUUUUCGUUCUCCUUUGUAUUCCCAAUUUUCCAAAUCGAAAUCCUUUACCCAAUUUCCAAUUUCCCUAAUUCUCCCUUGUCUUUUCCGAUUGUUUCUACAUCUAUGCUUCUCGUGACAAUACCCCCUCUAUGAGAGGAUACUUGUCCCCAAGGAUUGAACUGUGGAAACUGAGUACGAAGAACUAGGUAUUCGUCCCAAGUGUCGUGCGUCUCGUCGAGAUUCAUCCACCAAAAUAAAAGUUGCAUUACUGGGCGAUUUUGUUGUUUCAUGAUUCUUUUGCGCAAAGCCAUCAAGGGUUGAACCUUAAUUACUUGGCCAUCAUUAGCAACCACUGGUGGUUUGAUGGAAACCAAUGAUUUAUCCCCAAGCUUCUUCUUUAGAAAACUCACGUGGAAGACCAGAUGUAUUCGAGAGUUGGGAAGAUUGGUGAUAUGGCUGCAACUUUAGUAAACUUCACCAACUGCAAAUUGUCUCACUUCUUCUUUUAUCCGCUUGCUGUUUCAUUCUAUUAUGAACUAGGUGUAACUGUUCUUUAAUUAUUUUUCGUAAUUGCUAUGUCAUGAAGUAAUUUAUUCA